rnacentral:rRNA from 1 species
CACGUAGGGGGCGAGCGUUGUCCGGAUUUAUUGGGCGUAAAGAGCUCGUAGGUGGUUCGGUAAGUUGGGUGUGAAAACUCCAGGCUCAACCUGGAGACGCCACCCGAUACUGCUGUGACUCGAGUCCGGUAGGGGAGCGUGGAAUUCCUGGUGUAGCGGUGAAAUGCGCAGAUAUCAGGAGGAACACCAGCGGCGAAGGCGGCGCUCUGGGCCGGAACUGACGCUGAGGAGCGAAAGCGUGGGUAGCGAACAGG